CCAAUAGCGUAUAUUAAAGUUGUUGCAGUUAAAAAGCUCGUAGUUGAAUUUCGGGGUCAAAUUGUCGGUCGUGCCUCGGUACGUACUGGUAUUAUUGGUUCCUCCCUUCUGACGAACCACGAUGUCAUUAAUUUGGUGUCAUGGGAAAUCAGGACUGUUACUUUGAAAAAAUUAGAGUGUUUAAAGCAGGCUCGCGCUUGAAUACAUUAGCAUGGAAUAAUGAAAUAGGACGUUUGAUUCUAUUUUGUUGGUUUCUAGGAUCGACGUAAUGAUUAAUAGGGAUAGUUGGGGGCAGUAGUAUUCAAUUGUCAGAGGUGAAAUUCUUGGAUUUAUUGAAGACUAACUACUGCGAAAGCAUUUGCCAAGGAUGUUUUCAUUAAUCAAGAACGAAAGUUAGGGGAUCGAAGACGAUCAGAUACCGUCGUAGUCUUAACCAUAAACUAUGCCGACUAGGGAUCGGAUGAUGUUAAUUUUUUAAUGACUCAUUCGGCGCCUUACG
rnacentral:rRNA from 1 species